rnacentral:rRNA from 1 species
UCCUACGGGGGGCAGCAGUGGGGAAUAUUGCACAAUGGGGGAAACCCUGAUGCAGCGACGCCGCGUGAGUGAAGAAGUAUCUCGGUACGUAAAGCUCUAUCAGCAGGGAAGAAAAUGACGGUACCUGACUAAGAAGCCCCGGCUAACUACGUGCCAGCAGCCGCGGUAAUACGUAGGGGGCAAGCGUUAUCCGGAUUUACUGGGUGUAAAGGGAGCGUAGACGGCAGAGCAAGUCUGAAGUGAAAGCCCGCGGCCCAACUGCGGGACUGCUUUGGAAACUGACCGGCUAGAGUGCUGGAGAGGUA